CCAAUAGCGUAUAUUAAAGUUGUUGCAGUUAAAAAGCUCGUAGUUGAAUUUCGGGAUCAGUACGUCGGUCGUGCCUUGGUACGUACUGGCGUCGCUGAUUUCUCCCUUCUGACGAACCGUGAUGCCAUUAAUUUGGUGUUGCGGGGCAUCAGGACUGUUACUUUGAUAACAUUAGAGUGUUUAAGGCGGGCACGCGCUUGCAUACAUUUGCAUGGAAUAACGAAAUUGGACGUUCGAGCUUAUUUUGUUGGUUUCUAGGAUUGACGUAAUGAUUAAUAGUGAUAGUUGGGGGCAUUAGUAUUCAAUUGUCAGAGGUGAAAUUCUUGGAUUUAUUGAAGACUAACUACUGCGAAAGCAUUUGCCAAGGAUGUUUUCAUUAAUCAAGAACGAAAGUUAGGGGAUCGAAGACGAUCAGAUACCGUCGUAGUCUUAACCAUAAACUAUGCCGACUAGGGAUCGGAUGAUGUUAAUUUUAUAAUGACUCAUUCGGCGCCUUACG
rnacentral:rRNA from 1 species